CUUUGAAAAAGGCAAACCGCGCCGAAAGGCCGGGACGCAAAGCCACGGGGCUUGGACCGACUACCCCGACGGUUCAUGCCAGCCGGGUUGCCAAA
rnacentral:ncRNA from 1 species